GGUUUCUUUUUAUAAAAUAGUUUCUUUUGAUCUGACUGUUACGGCGUUUGAGUCUGUGUUCGUAUCUUUCCUGCGGGUACCCCUAGAAUGCGGACGCUCAUGCUAUCUGGGGUCCGCAAAUACUUAGGGGUUCACUGUGCCAUGCGCAUUUCGGUGGGGGUUUCGAUAAACCCCAACUUGUUCAUUCGUUCUCACUCCUCCCAUUUUCGGCCUUUGGAUCCUUCUUUGCACUCUUAGUGGAGUUGGCCCCCUUUUUCUUCAUUUUCCUUCUCGUACCUACCGGAACUAUCAAACCCACCGGAAUCUUGGCCUGGCGUGUGAACUCCGCUCUACACCAAGUCUAAGAGUCAUCAUUUGGCCAUCAUGUUGGAAGAGGAGUCGGAGAACCCAGGUUGGCACAUUGGAGGUUGUUUACAAAUAAGCCACUUAUAUGGGGUACAACAACGAUGGGCUAGGAUUCUUCCUCCUCAGCUGAACACGGAGGUUAUGGAUAUUGGCUUGGGCCAAGUGUGCCGGAUUGACACCUUUCCUUUGGAUAUGGCCUUCAUUAGUGCUAUGUUCAUCAUUUUCAGUCAGGGACCGGGAUUUUCUCCUUUCCUUGUGGGGAAACUGACAUUAACCUAGAGGUUGUGGCUCUGAUGCUCGGGGUUAGGAGUGACGAGGCGCCUCUUCUUUGUGAUCCUUUGUCUGAUAGUCGUUCUGUUUGGGGAGAGGUGCACGAAUUGUUGGGAGAUGUUCGUCCCAAGGAGUGAAGGUGGGGUGAAAAGCACCUCGCUUCGAGCUAGGCUUUGGAGGCCAUUUGGGGCAUCAAGCUCCGACGGUCUGAGGUAGAUAAGCACACACAGAGUCUACUGAGGGCAUGGGCUAGGAAAUUGCUUGUCAAGCCCAAGUCGACACAGGCUAAAAAUACCCUUGUAAGCAGUGUAUUUGAUGCUCUUAUCUAAACUGAGGAGCCCAUGCUAGAGCCUAAGAUGAGGAGAGGGAGGCCUCUUCUUCGUAUUCUGCUUCUUCUUCUGCGACUGAAUCCGACGAUUGGGUGAGGGAUGACGAGACCCUCAUAGUGACUCGGAUAGAUUCCCCCGGUGAUGAUAUAGAGAGCAUUGGUAUAGGUCGCAAGCGCCUGAGAAGGGCUUGUAAUCUUAGUGGAGUUGGGAGAAAGGGGGACCCCUCUUUGAUUCCUCAGCUCACAACUAGGUGGAUGAUUUCAUUGAGGGCUCUAUUCCCUUAGCCGAUGUUUGGCUGAAGAGACCUCUGGAGUUGGUGGAGCAGGAGAUGCAGUUACUUUUGCAGGAUCGGCUCAUACAGAGAGAGUUGCCGAAGAGAUUGAGUCUCUUGGGGCUGACCAGGAUAUUCCUGUAGAGGCUGAGGGAGAGGUUCUUGUUGAGGUUGAGGAGAGUGUUCCCGAGUAUAGGGGGGUUUUCAGCCCUGACUAUGAUCCCCGUUGUGACAAUGAGCUUACUGUGGUGGACAUGCAAAUAGUCCGGGGUUUUCUAGUGUAUCUCUUUGGUACCCUUCUAUUCCCUGACCCUUUGAAAAGUAAUCCUCGGGUUCAGUUUGUUUGGGCGGUUAGGGACCUUCAGUAUAUACAUCAGGUGGCAUGAGGUCCGGCCAUCUUAACAUUCCUUCUCAGGGGCUUGCGAGAGGCUACUCUGGGCGCAUGAGCUAGGUCUGGGCAUGGGAGCACAUAGCAGUGACCAGGCCUCUUGUUUCGGAUACCGUCGAAUGGUUUCCGCAUAUUCAUCGCUGGGCACGGGGUAAGCAAGCUUGUGUUCAGGCUCUUACGGUGGAUCAUUACACUCUGAUUUUUUUUGUCUUGGAGGAGACAGAGAUUACAUGGGCGCCUGCUUCUAGUGAUUAGCCCCAGGAGAUAGUAGAGGGGUCUCAGGAGGUCUUCUUGACGACCGCUGCCCUGAUUUGUAUGUAUUUUGUGGAGGCGUAUCAUCCAGAUUGACUUCUUCGGCACUUUGGACACCCCCAGGUGGAGUUACUUGAUGUAGAUGUCUUUGUCGUUCCUGGUAUUAGAAUGGGGCGAGAUUAUAGGUGAGACUUGUCUCCUUAUCUUACCCGAUAGGGUCAACGGCACGCAUUGCUGAUAGAUCCUCCCGACCAGAUUACCCUUGAGGAGGCGGACCUUUAUCUCUACGCUUGUACACGGUCCAUGUAUGAGGUCACCCAUCGUUCUCCUUGGCAUUAGAGGCUAUCAGCCAAAGCCCAUGCAGUUGACGAGAUGCGAGUUGAGCGUAAUGACUUCAGAUCGAGGUUGAGGUAGUUACAGGAGCAGCACACUUAGUUGCGGAGGGAAUAUGAGGAGGUUGUUCGUAGCUGUUCCCAGAUAGAGCGUGAGAGGGACUCCCUUCGUCAGAGUCUUCGCAAUUCUUGUCAGAUGACCUCUCCUCUUCCACGCGUGGGUUCUCCAGGUGUCCCACCUAUUCCACACGCUCCACAGGGGCUUUCUCCUAGCGAAGCUGAGUGCCAGCAUUCUCGACUGAUUCACUACCAGUCCAAGUGUCGAUACCUUCGAGAUGAGAGGGAUCACGCUUUACGCGAGUAUGCGAGCAAUGCCGGUGUUGUGGCUGUUUUAGAGGGGGUUUUAGCCAGUUGGGGGACAGAUCCGUCUCUUAUCAUAGAGCGUGCCCUGGUCCGGCAUCCUCUCCCUCCUCCUUUGGAGCGUACACAAAGUCUAGCCAUAUCUAGGUGUUCCUUACGAGUGGGAGACAGAGGGUCUCUCCAAGUGGAGAAUACAUCGCGACUUGGAGCAGAUGAUCAUGAGGCCGCUUCGUCUCACCGUCCUUCCCGGAGUCGACAUUCUCAUAGCCCCGCAUUCUAAUGAUUGUCUUUUGGAUUUGUAUGCCUUUUGUGAUUGACUUUUUUGGACUUGUGUGGCAACUUUUGUUACAACCACACCCUUUGGAUUUUGCCAUCGUUGUGAAUGAUUUCUCUCUUUUUGCUAAAAUGAUGGUAUGCCCAUUGAUUGUGUAUCUGCUUGUACUGUUUUGCAUGUAGAUGGAUUGAUUGCCACCAA